GAUCCUACUUAUAGACAAAGAUUAACAUGGCCUAAUGAACAGAACAAUGGACUGGACCACAUGAGGAGCCCAUGAGGUUCUAUAUUAUCUGAGCCAUGGUUUUCUCAUCUAGAGAGUAAAUAUGUUGCCAUUAAUAGUCUCUCAUGUCUCUUCUGGGGCUCUUUUGUGACUAUAUAUUGUGCUUUACCACCCCUAGACAUCGGGACCAUCAUUCCAGCCAGGAACAGAGUGAAGUAAGGCAAAGUAGAUAGACACCAAUAAAGAUAAAUGGGCUUGGAAACACAAAUGUCAGAGAGCAAGUAAACGAACACAGCAAUAUUAGGCAAGAGUUAUAAGCAGGAGAUGAAGAGGUGCCAAUGGACAUCUGCCAUAGCCAACUUUACCUUUAUCACUCUCCUCCCGACAGGCAGCAGCAAUCAUGGUGUCUUGGGACACAGUUACACGACAUCCCAUGACACCUAGACCUGAUCUCACGAUACCCCCACCACGGUCCAGUUAUUCAGCAUCAUCAAAUAGGCGACAAAUCCCCUGUUCGAUCAUCUGGAGGAGAUGAGUCUCACCUAGAAGGUUUUACAGAUUUGUGAAGACAGCAAGUUGGCAUCAUUCUUCUCUUACCUCACAUAACACCUCUCCAGGAAGGCCUUCCCUGACCACCCAUCCAAAAGAAACUCCCUCUUAGUCAUGCUCUGUCCCAUUUUGAGGGUGACCAAUAACCCCAAUUUGUGCAAAAUGAGGGUGUUUCCCAGGAUGUAGGAUUGUGCUAAAACCAGUAGAGUGCUAAGCAAGUCUGAAGAAGCUAUGGCUCUACCACCAUCGUGCUUUUUUUUUCUUUCUUCAUAGUCUUUGCUACUUUCUAUCUGAUAAUUUGCUUUACAUGUCUGUGUUCUCAUUUCCUUCUAAUUAAAAUGGAAGCCUCUUGAGGGUGGGGACAGGAUUUGAUCUGUGUGAUUCACAGCUAUAUGUGGAUGCCCACAACACAACUCACCACAUAGUAGGCACUAAAUGACUAUUUGUUUAAAGACUGAUUGGACUGUUAAUCUAUUGACUCGUUGUUUGUUCAAGAUUUUAUUUUAUUCAUGAGAAACUCAGAGAGAAAGGCAGAGACAUAGGCAGAGGGAGAAGCAAACUCCAUGCAGGCAUCCUGAUGUGGCACCCGAUCCCAGGACCCUGAGAUCACAACCUGAGCCAAAGGCAGAUGCUCAACCACUGAGCCACCAGACACCCAAUUGACUCAUUUUUUAAAGUGCUCACCUUUCUAUUUUCCCAGUUUGAACAACAUAAAUGCAUAAAGAACACAAAGUUUUGUAUGUCACCGCGAUUCAUUUUUUAAAGCAUUUGAUUUGGCUAUAACGACUGAGUGAGCUGUAAGCCCUUGAACCUGUGUGGCAGUGAGAACUUCAGACAGCUGUGUUCCUUUUCUUCUGAUCCCCCAACAAUAUAAUUAAAAAGGAUUCACUGAAAUGUAGACGUUUCUACCAUUUACCCUGGAAUGUUGGCUCUAGCCAAUAUAACCUAGUCUGUAAAUACAAGAUUAGCGUCUGUGAAGGGAAAGC
rnacentral:lncRNA from 12 species